rnacentral:lncRNA from 1 species
CCUGUAGCCCCAAAUCGGAUAAUCUCUGCAGCUGAUAACAAGCAAAAGAGAAGCCAGGCAACAGCCAUAUUAAAGAAGAAAACAAUCAACUCUGAGAAAUCAGAAUUCAACUUGGAGAAAGUGGAAGAGUGGCUUCAACUGUGAACUCAAACUUUAAUAGCUAAAUCAGCCACC